rnacentral:rRNA from 1 species
GGGAAUAUUGGACAAUGGGCGAGAGCCUGAUCCAGCAAUGCCGCGUGUGUGAAGAAGGCCUGCGGGUUGUAAAGCACUUUCGUUGGGGAGGAAGGCGUCAUGGUUAAUAGUCAUGACGAUUGACGUUACCCAAAGACGAAGCACCGGCUAACUCUGUGCCAGCAGCCGCGGUAAUACGGAGGGUGCGAGCGUUGUCCGGAAUCACUGGGCGUAAAGGGCGCGUAGGCGGCCUGGUAAGUAGGGGGUGAAAUCCUGCGGCUUAACCGCAGGGCUGCCUUCUAAACUGUCAGGCUUGAGCACGGUAGAGGCAGAUGGAAUUCCCGGUGUAGCGGUGGAAUGCGUAGAGAUCGGGAAGAACAUCAGUGGCGAAGGCGGUCUGCUGGGCCGUUGCUGACGCUGAGGCGCGACAGCGUGGGGAGCAAA